rnacentral:rRNA from 1 species
AGUAAUGCGUGACCAACCUGCCCCAUGCUCCAGAAUAGCUCUUGGAAACGGGUGGUAAUGCUGGAUGCUCCAACUUGACGCAUGUCUUGUUGGGAAAGUGUUUAGUGGCAUGGGAUGGGGGCGCGUCCUAUCAGCUUGUAGGCGGGGUAAUGGCCCACCUAGGCUUCGACGGGUAGCCGGCCUGAGAGGGCGGACGGCCACAUUGGGACUGAGAUACGGCCCAGACUCCUACGGGAGGCAGCAGCU